AAUGAAUGAAUGAAUGGCAGAUGAUCUUAGAGCCCCCCCUCCCCCUUCACUGUCUCUGCUCAAAAAGCGUUCCUUGGAUUCCUCUUCAUAUAGAGAGAGAAAGACAGGAAAUGAUUAAUAUAAAAAAGCAAAGUAAAAAAGGAAGGUGUUUGAAGAGCUUCAUUCAUGGCUACCCCCUGCUUCUUUUUCUCUCUCUUUUUUUUUUUUUUUGGGUCCAAUCUGCCAUUUUUUGUUUUUAUUCACUACAUUUCUGCCCACUUCCUCCUUCUUAUGCUUGUCGUUAAUUCAGAUCCUCCCAACAAACCUUACUUAUUUUUUCUUUUAUCUUUUAUAUAUAUACAGAGUCAGUCGAAAAUAUUCUUAAACAUGGUACAAGAUGGCAAAUCCAUUCUUAAUAUUUUGGUUGAUAAGGAGGGGGUGGAACAGCACGUGACACCCAUUUUGUAUACAAAAGAUAAUUUCUAAUUAUAAUUAUGAUUCUAAUCCAUAAUCUUUUCUUAAUUAUAUAUACUUUGCAUUAUGAUUUUUUUUUAUUUUAUUUUGAUGUGCAUGUGCAUGCACACGUGAAUUGACGCGUAUACAUGAAAACAAUAAUCAUGUUUUUUUUUUGG
rnacentral:lncRNA from 1 species